AAUAUAUUUCAGCAACAAAUAAAAACAAAGAUAAUUAAAUGCCAUUAUUUUAAAGAAAAGAGAAAUCAGUUCUUUUCUCUUGUACUCUCUCAAAGCCCAUGCCAUGACCCACACAUCCAACAAACAUCUGGGGAAGGCGAAAACUUCAAAACUGGUUCGACAAACUGUGAAGGGUAGCAGGAGCAUCAUCCACGGAGGCAAAGCAAAAGCAGAGAAAAGAGAGAAAUUAUUCCCCUGAGAAAGGUAAAGCCUGAGUAGACUGUUUUCAGUUAAAACCCUUGACUCAACUCUGCUUAAGAAAAUGAGUUCUUCUUGCAAAUCAAUUUCUCUAAAGAAUAAACUACACUGCAUAUGCAAUAUAAGGCAAAGAAAAUAUCAACUGCUACCUAAAGAGAAACUACCAACAGGGCCUAAAGUCACGGCUUCAUAACCAGUGUUUAGAGAGGUAUAUACUUCCCAUUUUUCCUGAUAUAGUCUGAUCUCUUUGGUACUUUAUGCACGAGUAAAAAGUUCCAAUCGGGUGAGAAAACAGUUACGUACAUAAACAUUAUGUUAAGUCAGUGCCACCUCUAUGAUAACUGGAAUUUUGCUUUCAUUUUAAUUAAAUAUGAAGCAAAACAAUUAAUAUCACUUUUCACUUCAGACCAUCUUUAGUUAAAAAAAAAGCUCCUGCAGUCUUCUGUCAGUGGUUGUAAAGGCAUUCAACAUUGUCACUUGUUUAAACGUCUGUUUGGCUGCCAACGGACUGUCCCCAAAAGAACAUUUUUGCAUCUCAAUAGUCUGUCCGGUAUCAACAAUCUUUAAACUAUAAAUUUAACGCUGCUGAAGAAAAGGGGAAAUAACAUUCGCAUUGUACUGUCCUGGUAUCACACUUACAAAAUGAACAAAUAAUCAGACUAUUUCCACUUAUCUAGCACUCUGCAUCUGAGGAUCUCAAAUGGCCUGACAAACGUUAAUUAACUAAGCUGCACAACACUCCUGUGAGGGUGGCAGGCAGUAUGAUCCUCUCCAAGCGACAGAUGAACGGAGAUCCCGGGAGGCCCUUCCUUUGAAAGUCAGUGGCUCAAGCUGGAACUCAACUUCCAGAACUUGGAACUCAACUCCCCAGGCCCAUGGUUGAGCAUCUCUGCUGAAGCCAAGCAGCACAAAAUGUAGAUGUUACAACUGAUAGACUUUCCUAAAUAAAUUUAAACUGGAAACCAAGAUCAAUCUCAAGGAGAUUUAUCUUUCCUCUAGGUGCAAGAAAAAAGUGCUCUAGUAACUACAGCAUUUGAACCUACGAAAGAAUCUGAGCUAUAAGUUAUCUAGAACAUUCCGUUUUGGCAAAUAACAUGGAAGAAUUUACCUGAAUGUUGAUUUGCCAUGAGCUCCCCCUAAAGAUUAACCCAAUAAGCUUAACUGUACUUCUGUAUUUUAUUAACAAAUGAAAAACUAUACGAUAUGGUUCAUUUUUUUGUGAAAUUUAAUGAUCAAUUUUUGGAUCCUUAUUCAUAUAGUUAUCAGAUAAAAAGCCAACUUUUCUGCAAUGGAAUAUUCAAUCUAAAAAUUCCAUUACAAAAAUAAAAUCCAGAAUUUCUUAUUCAGGAAACAAUAAGAUUAAUACAGUUGCAUCUGCAUAAGUUUAUCUAAAAUAUAAAAACCUUUGUGUAGAUGUGCAUCAUAACAAAAAACUUGUCAGAAAGGUAGACAACUUUACAUGAAUGCUGACUAUACUACACUACUUAGUUUAAAAUGGUUAAGAAACAUCUCUUGGAAUAUAUAAAAUAAUUUACUUAUACUUUUAACACAGGUAAUUUUAAACAUGCUAACCUAUUCACAGCCCUAAACCUUAAAUCUAAAAAACACUGAGUUUUCAAAAUAUUAUUAGUAAAUGUUGGUGACCACUUUCAGGAGGUGAUUCAUGUUUUAUAAGAUCUAUUCUAGAAAUGUUAAGAUAAUAGAUUAAAGUUGUCAUAUAAGCUUAGACUAUUUGUAGCAAAGAUUCUAAAGGCCUUAAUACUUCUUCCUACUAAUACAAGAAAAUACUCAAAAAUUUUGUAGAAAUAUUGUGUGAUUAAUAUGCAACAUAAAGCCUAGUUUUCCUAGAGUAAUUUACAAGAUCAAGUUUAUGGCAAUGUGCCUUUUGUCAUACUCAAAGCACAGUAGUCAACAAAGAGGCACAUGCAACUUAAAAAUUUUUAUAUCAAGAUCAACUUCAUACUAAUAACAAGGGAAAAAUAUAGACAUUCACUAAAUAAAAAUACACAUAAAUGAUAUCACAUUGAACACAAAACUUAAGCCAAACACUGACCCUGCCUAGGCCAAAAAAAGGAGAAAACCAGUAAUGUUAAUGAAGAGAACAUUUCGAAAUUUUAGCUCUUCUUGUGAUUCUUAUAUUUCCUUCCUCACUUUGAGGAGUACAGCAAACUUUCAUUGCUAAAACCAGUAAAAAAAAAAAAAAAAAAAAAAAAAAAAAAAAAAAAAAAAAAAGUUAUCAGAAAAAAAAAAAUGCUGAAAGUAACAUUUAAUUAUGUGCUUUGUAACACAAUCCUAACUACAUUCAGCCUUUUAUUUUAAAAUGUUAAAUAUUUACCAGCAUAGUAUUGAACUAUAUUAAAUCAACGUUUUCUGUUGUGCAAGUUUUCCAUACUUAAUUCGUGAUAUCACUCUGCAUAAUAUUUUUAAACGGUUAAGUUUUACUUUAGUAUUAGAAACUGGAUAUAUAAAUGUAUUAAUACACUUGUUCUAUUAAUGCUGUGUUGAAUAAACUAUUUAAUUUAAAAGGUACUUUUUAAAUCUAAUAGUUUACAUUCCUUAAAUUGCUUACAAUUUCCAAAUAAUUGUAGUUACUUUCGAGUUCUAUUUUAUUGUUUAAAAUAUAUAAAUAUGCAUUCUGUAAGCAUAUUUAUAACUACUGUAAUUUUUGUUCAAAACAUGUAAAUUAUAUUUGUCUAUUUCUAUGGUGUAUUUUAAAUUAUUACAGGACAUCUUCACUAAUAACUAUGCCUCUGCAACUACAAACUUCAAGUACUUUUUUUUGCCUUUAGUAAACAUGACCUCAAAAUUCUGCUUUUUUUUUUUCUACCACUGGCAGGGUAAUGAAUUGGAGGUAUGUAUUCGCUUUUUUUUUUUUAGAAUAUCAAUACCACCAAAGUAGAAUUUGUGUCAAAUUCACAAUCAGAAUGGGCUGUUUCUUAAUUCUGUUAGGUGUCUUAAAAAGCACAUCAUCUAAGAUAUGUACACACUGAAAAUUCCAUAUACAGCUAAUAACCUAAAUGUUGCACUAUAAAUUAAAUUGACUACCCUUCCUAUUCCAAAUAUCCAAUAAAAUUGGUGAUUUCCAAAAGCAUUAUUCAAAUAUAAAAUGUGAAUCUUAAAAGAUUUAAAUUUUAUUACAACCACAGAAUGAUUCAAUGCUCUUCCUUUUAUAUAUGCAUAUGUAUGUAUAUGUAUAUAUUAAUGUAAUUUUAUCAGAUCUCUGAAAUUUAGUAGAUUACAGCCUUUGAAGAUAAUAAAUCAUAGGGUUGGAAUUUGGCUAUUAUUGUAGAACAUAGCUAAGGAGUCUCUUGUUGAAGGCUUCCUACUUCAGCAGCUAAUGUGGAGGAACUGAAAAGGCGGUUAAAAUGAUGCAAUAGAACUUGAAAUCAGGGAUUUAAGGAAGUGGAGGAAUUGAGAAAAACAAUUUUUUAGAAAAGUAUUAUCAUCUCCAUCUUGCUGAAAAAAUGCAACUACACUCAGGUUUUUUAUACCAUUGCUUAAUAAAUUGUCAUUUCAAAGUCUUAGACUAUAUAAACAAUGGCAGAAAAGGUAAUAUUCCAGAAACAGUCAAAACAAUAUGGUGUCAAAUGAAGAUGUCAUGGAUGAAAACAACUUUAAGUGG